rnacentral:sRNA from 1 species
CCGGGGGCUAACGCCCCCGGCUACAUUGUGCCGCCCCUUGCGGGGCU